rnacentral:rRNA from 1 species
GACGAACGCUGGCGGCGUGCUUAACACAUGCAAGUCGAGCGGAGCGGCGAACGGGUGAGUAACGCGUGAGUAACUGCCCCCCUCUCUGGGAUAACAGUUGGAAACGGCUGCUAAUACCGGAUAGUGGGGGAUGACUCGCGUCCUAUCAGCUUGUUGGUAGGGUAGUGGCGUACCAAGGCGAGGACGGGUAGCCGGCCUGAGAGGGCGACCGGCCACAUAGGGCGGGGAUACGGCCGAAACUCCGACGGGAGGCAGGAGUGGGGAAUAUUGCACAAUGGGGGAAACCCUGAUGCAGCAUCGCCGCGUGCGGGAUGACGGCCGUCGGGUUGUAAACCGGUUUCAGCCAUGACGCGGUAGUGGCAGAAGAAGCACCGGCGAACAACGUGCCAGCAGCCGCGGUAAUA